rnacentral:rRNA from 1 species
UACGUAGGGGGCAAGCGUUGUCCGGAAUUAUUGGGCGUAAAGAGCGUGUAGGCGGUCCGGUAAGUCGGCUGUGAAAGUCCAGGGCUCAACCCCGGGAUGCCGGUCGAUACUGCCGGACUAGAGUUCGGAAGAGGCGAGUGGAAUUCCCGGUGUAGCGGUGAAAUGCGCAGAUAUCGGGAGGAACACCUAUGGCGAAGGCAGCUCGCUGGGACGUUACUGACGCUGAGACGCGAAAGCCAGGGGAGCAAACGGG